UACGUAGGCAGCGAGCGUUGUUCGGAGUUACUGGGCGUAAAGGGCGCGUAGGCGGUUUGUACAGUCAGAUGUGAAAUUCCUGGGCUCAACCUGGGGGCUGCAUUUGAUACGUAUGGACUGGAGUGAGGAAGAGGGUCGUGGAAUUCCCAGUGUAGAGGUGAAAUUCGUAGAUAUUGGGAAGAACACCGGUGGCGAAGGCGGCGACCUGGUCCUUUACUGACGCUGAGGCGCGAAAGCGUGGGGAGCAAACAGG
rnacentral:rRNA from 1 species